AUUACUGGGCGUAAGGGUGCGUAGGCGGUUUUGUAAGUCAGAGGUGAAAUCCCCGGGCUCAACCUGGGAACUGCCUUUGAUACUGCAAGGCUUGAGUAUAGUAGAGGGGGAUGGAAUUCCUCGUGUAGCGGUGAAAUGCGUAGAUAUUAGGAGGAACACCGAUGGCGAAGGCAGGCCCCUGGGAUAUAACUGACGCUCAUGGACGAAAGCGUGGGGAGCAAACAGGAUUAGAUACCCUGGUAGUCCACGCCGUAAACGAUGUCAACUGGUUGUUGGGA
rnacentral:rRNA from 1 species